GAUGAACGCUGGCGGCGUGCCUAAUACAUGCAAGUCGAGCGAACAGAUAACGAGCUUGCUCCUUUGACGUUAGCGGCGGACGGGAGAGUAACACGUGGGUAACCUACCUAUAACACUGGAAUAACUCCGGGAGACCGGGGCUAAUGCCAGAUAACAUUUAUAACCGCAUGGUUCUAAAGAGAAAGAUGGUUUUGCUAUCACUUAUAGAUGGACCCGCGCCGUAUUAGCUAGUUGGUAAGGUAACGGCUUACCAAGGCAACGAUACCUAACCGACCCAAGAGGGUGAUCGGCCACACUGGAACUGAGACACGGUCCAGACUCCUACGGGAGGCAACAGUAGGGAAUCUUCCGCAAUGGGCGAAAGCCUGACGGACCAACGCCACGAGAGUGAUGAAGGUCUUCAGAUCGUAAAACUCUGUUAUUAGGGAAGAACAAAUGUGUAAGUAACUAUGCACGUCUUGACGGUACCUAAUCAGAAAGCCACGGCUAACUACGUGCCAGCAGCCGCGAUAAUACGUAGGUGGCAAGCGUUAUCCGGAAUUAUUGGGCGUAAAGCGCGCGUAGGCGGUUUCUUAAGUCUGAUGUGAAAGCCCACGGCUCAACCGUGGAGGGUCAUUGGAAACUGGGAAACUUGAGUACAGAAGAGGAAAGUGGAAUUCCCUGUGUAGCGGUGAAAUGCACAGAGAUAUGGAGGAACCCCAGUGGCGAAGGCGACUUUCUGGUCUGUAACUGACGCUGAUGUGCGAAAGCGUGGGGAUCAAACAGGAUUAGAUACCCUGGUAGUCCCCGCCGUAAACGAUGAGUGCUAAGUGUUAGGGGGUUUCCCCCCCUUAGUGCUGCAGCUAACGCAUUAAGCACUCCGCCUGGGGAGUACGCCCGCAAGGUUGAAACUCAAAGGAAUUGACGGGGACCCGCACAAGCGGUGGAGCAUGUGGUUUAAUUUGAAGCAACGCGAAGAACCUUACCAAAUCUUGACAUCCUUUGACAACUCUAGAGAUAGAGCCUUCCCCUUCGGGGGACAAAGUCACAGGUGGUGCAUGGUUGUCGCCAGCUCGUGUCGUGAGAUGUUGGGUUAAGUCCCGCAACGAGCGCAACCCUUAAACUUAGUUGCCAGCAUUUAGUUGGGCACUCUAAGUUGACUGCCGGUGACAAACCGGAGGAAGGUGGGGAUGACGUCAAAUCAUCAUGCCCCUUAUGAUUUGGGCUACACACGUGCUACAAUGGACAAUACAAAGGGCAGCUAAACCGCGAGGUCAUGCAAAUCCCAUAAAGUUGUUCUCAGUUCGGAUGGUAGUCUGCAACUCGACUACAUGAAGCUGGAAUCGCUAGUAAUCGUAGAUCAGCAUGCUACGGUGAAUACGUUCCCGGGUCU
rnacentral:rRNA from 1 species